CCCUUAGAUGUUCUGGGCCGCACGCGUGCUACACUGAGCGGAUCAGCGGGUCAGGUUACGCGAGAGCGUUUCCUAAUCUUCAAAUCCGCUCGUGAUGGGGAUUGACGGUUGCAAUUUUCCGUCAUGAACGAGGAAUACCUUGUAAGCGCGGGUCAUCAUCCCGCGCUGAAUACGUCCCUGCCCUUUGUACACACCGCCCGUCGCUCCUACCGAUUGAGUGGUCCGGUGAGGCUUUGGGAUCUAAGCGAAAAGAGCGUUUCGCUCCUUUUGCUGGGAGAACUCAGUCGAACCUUAUCAUUUAGAGGAAGGAGAAGUCGUAACA
rnacentral:rRNA from 1 species